AAACAACCCAAUUAACAAAUGAGCAAAGUUCUUGAAUAGACAUUUCUCCAAAGAACAGAUAAGCGACUGACAAGUAUAUGGAAAAGUGCUCAACACUAUUAAUUGUCAGGCAAAUGCAGAUCAAAACCACAAUGAGAUGGUACUUCACAUCUGUUAGGGCGGCUAGUAUCCAAAAAAGACAAAAGAGAAUCAGUAUUGGUGAGGACAUGGAAAAUUUGGAGCCGUUAUACAUGAUUGGUAGAAAUAUGGAAUAUUGCAGCUGCUAUGGAAAACAAUGUGGAGAUUCCUUAAAAAAUUAUAAUAGAAGUAUUCCAUCAUCAGGCAAUCCCACUCCUUGGUAUAUAUCUGAAAGAAUUUAAAUCAAGAUCUCAAAGAGAUAUCUGCAUGCCCAUGUUCAUUACAACAUCAUUCACAAUAGCCAAGUAUUUACAGGGGGACCCUGAAGUGAUUGGUAGAGGCUAUCUUCAAUUCCUAGAGGUCUCAGUGGAUGCUCUGCUGUGCUGGCAAGUUCUUCCGCCCCAAAGUGAGUUCUUCCUAACCACUGAGCUGAACGAUCAUUCAAUCAUAAGCAGAGAAAUGGAACCAAAGAACCUGAGAAGGCUUUUCAAAAAGAAAGUGAAAGGAGGAACAUGAUGGAAGCACCCAAUGCCAAUGAAUUUGGAAGUUUAGAGAAAAUAGAUCAGGUUGACAUGAUGACAGAGAAAUG
rnacentral:lncRNA from 1 species